rnacentral:sRNA from 1 species
UUUGUCUCUCCGAUCCGUCCUUUCUAA